rnacentral:rRNA from 1 species
UAAUACAUCGGAACGUGUCCAGUAGCGGGGGAUAACCUGUCGAAAGAUAGGCUAAUACCGCAUACGACCUACGGGUGAAAGCGGGGGACUCUCGGGCAACUGAGGGCCUCGCACUAUUGGAGCGGCCGAUGUCGGAUUAGCUAGUUGGCGGGGUAACGGCCCACCAAGGCGACGAUCCGUAGCUGGUCUGAGAGGACGACCAGCCACACUGGAACUGAGACACGGUCCAGACUCCUACGGGAGGCAGCAGUGGGGAAUUUUGGACAAUGGGCGCAAGCCUGAUCCAGCCAUGCCGCGUGAGUGAAGAAGGCCUUCGGGUUGUAAAGCUCUUUCGGCGGGGACGAAACGGUCCGUGACAACACCACGGACUAAUGACGGUACUCGCAGAAGAAGCACCGGCUAACUACGUGCCAGCAGCCGCGGUAAUACGUAGGGUGCGGGCGUUAAUCGGAAUUACUGGGCGUAAAGCGUGCGCAGGCGGCUCCUUAAGUCAGAUGUGAAAUCCCCGGGCUUAACCUGGGAACUGCGUUUGAAACUGAGGGGCUUGAGUGUGGAAGAGGGGGGUGGAAUUCCAGGUGUAGCAGUGAAAUGCGUAGAGAUCUGGAGGAACACCGAUGGCGAAGGCAGCCCCCUGGGCUAACACUGACGCUCAUGCACGAAAGCGUGGGGAGCAAACAGGAUUAGAUACCCUGGUAGUCCACGCCCUAAACGAUGUCAACUAGUUGUCGGGGAAGCAAUUCCUUGGUAACGAAGCUAACGCGUGAAGUUGACCGCCUGGGGAGUACGGCCGCAAGGUUA